rnacentral:rRNA from 1 species
GAUGAACGCUGGCGGCGUGCCUAAUACAUGCAAGUCGAGCGAACAGACGAGGAGCUUGCUCCUCUGACGUUAGCGGCGGACGGGUGAGUAACACGUGGAUAACCUACCUAUAAGACUGGGAUAACUUCGGGAAACCGGAGCUAAUACCGGAUAAUAUAUUGAACCGCAUGGUUCAAUAGUGAAAGACGGUUUUGCUGUCACUUAUAGAUGGAUCCGCGCCGCAUUAGCUAGUUGGUAAGGUAACGGCUUACCAAGGCGACGAUGCGUAGCCGACCUGAGAGGUUGAUCGGCCACACUGGAACUGAGACACGGUCCAGACUCCUACGGGAGGCAGCAGUAGGGAAUCUCCCGCAAUGGGCGAAAGCCUGACGGAGCAACGCCGCGUGAGUGAUGAAGGUCUUCGGACCGUAAAACUCUGUUAUUAGGGAAGAACAAAUGUGUAAGUAACUAUGCACGGCUUGACGGUACCUAAUCAGAAAGCCACGGCUAACUACGUG